UAAGACGGAGGGGGCUAGCGUUGUUCGGAAUGACUGGGCGUAAAGGGCGCGUAGGCGGUUUUUUAAGUGAGGCGUGAAAGCCCUGGGCUUAACCCAGGAGGUGCGUUUCAGACUGAAAGGCUUGAGUGCGAGAGAGGAAAGUGGAAUUCCUAGUGUAGAGGUGAAAUUCGUAGAUAUUAGGAAGAACACCAGUGGCGAAGGCGGCUUUCUGGCUCGCAACUGACGCUGAGGCGCGAAAGCGUGGGGAGCAAACAGGAUUAGAUACCCUGGUAGUCCACGCUGUAAACGAUGAGUGCUAGACGUUGGGUGGAAACAUUCAGUGUCGCAGCUAACGCAAUAAGCACUCCGCCUGGGGAGUACGGUCGCAAGAUUA
rnacentral:rRNA from 1 species